rnacentral:lncRNA from 1 species
UUUUUUUUAAUAAUGUUAAAUCAUAUUUUUUUAAUUUAUUAUUUCAAAACAAAUAUAUUUCUUUUUGUAGCUAGCAAAUAAUUUUUGAUUUUUUGUUUGUUUAUGAUAUGUUACAAUAAUUUAAAAACAAAAUUAAGGAGAGAAAACUUUAUUGGGUUCAUCCUUAAGAAACCAUUCGAACAGAAGAUGACAAUAAUGUUGAAAACUGUGCAAUGAAAUAUUGAUUGAUUAGGGUACCGUUUUAGAUAAUAAUAAUAAAAGAAAAGGC